AACACAGGGAGCCAGUUUAAAUAACGGUAACAAACUGGCAGAGGAUAAAUUCAAGCUAGAUAUCAGGAGGUGCUACUUCACUCUCAGGGCAACUAGGAUCUGGAAACAACUUCCAAGAGAAGU